GCGUUAAGUUGCAGGGUAUAGACCCGAAACCCGGUGAUCUAGCCAUGGGCAGGUUGAAGGUUGGGUAACACUAACUGGAGGACCGAACCGACUAAUGUUGAAAAAUUAGCGGAUGACCUGUGGCUGGGGGUGAAAGGCCAAUCAAACCGGGAGAUAGCUGGUUCUCCCCGAAAGCUAUUUAGGUAGCGCCUCGUGAAUUCAUCUCCGGGGGUAGAGCACUGUUUCGGCUAGGGGGCCAUCCCGGCUUACCAACCCGAUGCAAACUGCGAAUACCGGAGAAUGUUAUCACGGGAGACACACGGCGGGUGCUAACGUCCGUCGUGAAGAGGGAAACAACCCAGACCGCCAGCUAAGGUCCCAAAGUCAUGGUUAAGUGGGAAACGAUGUGGGAAGGCCCAGACAGCCAGGAUGUUGGCUUAGAAGCAGCCAUCAUUUAAAGAAAGCGUAAUAGCUCACUGGUCGAGUCGGCCUGCGCGGAAGAUGUAACGGGGCUAAACCAUGCACCGAAGCUGCGGCAGCGAACGUAUCACCCAAGACAACUUUACGGAGUUGACGAUUGACGGAGCGAAGCGACGUCAAAGCGUUCAUUAAAGUCGAGUUGGCUUAGGGAUACGUUCGUUGGGUAGGGGAGCGUUCUGUAAGCCUGUGAAGGUGUGUCGUGAGGC
rnacentral:rRNA from 1 species